rnacentral:rRNA from 1 species
GCGGCAGGCCUAACACAUGCAAGUCGAGCGGUAACAGGAAGAAAGCUUGCUUUCUUUGCUGACGAGCGGCGGACGGGUGAGUAAUGCCUAGGGAUCUGCCCAGUCGAGGGGGAUAACAGUUGGAAACGACUGCUAAUACCGCAUACGCCCUACGGGGGAAAGGAGGGGACCUUCGGGCCUUUCGCGAUUGGAUGAACCUAGGUGGGAUUAGCUAGUUGGUAAGGUAAUGGCUUACCAAGGCGACGAUCCCUAGCUGUUCUGAGAGGAUGAUCAGCCACACUGGGACUGAGACACGGCCCAGACUCCUACGGGAGGCAGCAGUGGGGAAUAUUGCACAAUGGGGGAAACCCUGAUGCAGCCAUGCCGCGUGUGUGAAGAAGGCCUUAGGGUUGUAAAGCACUUUCAGUAGGGAGGAAAGGUAAUGGCUUAAUACGCUAUUACUGUGACGUUACCUACAGAAGAAGGACCGGCUAACUUCGUGCCAGCAGCCGCGGUAAUAC